rnacentral:rRNA from 1 species
AUUUAGAGGAAAGAGAAGUCGUNNCAAGGUUUCCGUAGGUGAACCUGCGGAAGGAUCAUUGUCGAGACCUGCCCAGCAGAAGGACCGGCGAA